rnacentral:lncRNA from 1 species
AGAGGAGCCUGGCAUGGCUGUCCUUUGAGAAACUCUACCAGCAGCUGACUGAGACAGAUACGUAUACUUAUAGCCAACCAUUGGACCUCUGUAGAAGAGUUGGAGGAAGGAUUGAAGGAGUUGAAGGGACUGGCAAUCCUGUCGAAAGACCAACAGGGUCAACUGACCUGGACCCCUGGAGGCUCCCAGAGACUAAGCCACCAACCAAAGAGUGUACAUGGGCUGAUUUGAGGCCCCUGACACUUAUGUAGUAGAGGACUGCCUUGUCUGGCCUAAGUGGGAGAUGAUACAGCUAAUACUGUAGAGACUUGAUGCCCAAGGGAGGGGGGAUGCCCAAGAGGGGCCCCCUCUCAGAGGCAAAGGGGAGGGGCAUGAGAGAAGAACUCUGUGAGGGGUGAUGUGAACGGAGGAAACAUUUGGGAUGUAAACAAAUAAGUAAUUAAUAAUAAUAAAACAGAAGAUAUU